UUAAUAUAUACUAUUAAUUUAGUUUUCCCGAACUUAGAAGAGCUAAUUAAUUAUUUAUUUUAUUGUUGAAUAAAUAUUUAUAAUUAUUAAUUGGUAAUGAAAUGUUAUUCGUUUCUAAAUAUAUCUGGUUUUUCAAGAAAUAGAUUUAAUCUACUUAAUUUUAUUUAAGUUACUUAUUUUUUAGUAUCUUUUAUGUAUUAAGAAAUAUCUUAGGGGAUGAGCUUUAGGAUAAAUUUUUAUAAUUUAUUUAUUUUUAUAUUAAGAAUAGGAUUAGAAUUUUCCAUUUUUAAGAGGAUGUUAUAGUCAAUUUUAUUUUAUCUAAUAUUUAUAUUUAAUUUAAAUUUAUAUUGAAAUUUAAUUUUUAAUUUUAUUUGAUUAGGAAUAAUGAUAAAAUUAGUAUAUUUUAUUGUGUAUUUAUUAUAAAUUUUUUAGGUUAGCAAAAGGAACUCGGCAAUUGAUUUUUCACCUGUUUAUUAAAAACAUGGCCUUUUGAUUAUUAUUUAAGGUCUAGCCUGCCCACUGAGGUUUUAAAUGGCCGCGGUAUUCU
rnacentral:rRNA from 1 species